rnacentral:rRNA from 1 species
UACGGGGGGGGGCAAGCGUUGUUCGGAAUUACUGGGCGUAAAGGGCUCGUAGGCGGCCAACUAAGUCAUACGUGAAAUCCCUCGGCUUAACCGGGGAACUGCGUCUGAUACUGGAUGGCUUGAGUUCGGGAGAGGGAUGCGGAAUUCCAGGUGUAGCGGUGAAAUGCGUAGAUAUCUGGAGGAACACCGGUGGCGAAGGCGGCAUCCUGGACCGAUACUGACGCUGAGGAGCGAAAGCCAGGGAAGCAAACGGG